CUAAUUGGGUUGGGUACUAGUUCGGGUUCGGAUCGUUGUCGGGUUGAGUUAAAUCAGUUGUCAAUUACUAUCAGGUCUGGUGCAGUUCCAGGACAUAAAGUAUUGGAUCAAAUCGGUUCAGGUUGUGUCGGGUUCGGUUCGGAUUACAGGUCACUAGUUUCACCCCAUUUGUUCGAGUACAUAUUGGGUUCAGAUUAUUGCCGAUUUAGGUCAGGUCCAGUUUUUGACAGCUUUAGGUAGGAGUUAAAAAAUAAAAAAUGUUUACUCCAUAAACCAUAGCGUAGAAUCUAAUUUUCCACCGUCUCCACGGAUAAAUUACCCCCAUGGCGGUGAAAAAGACGAUGAUCAUUGAUCAAUCUGCUUUCAAGUUUCAACAGCUCUACCCGAAAUUCCUGGACUAUGCUCGAAUUCGAACAAAUUGUUGAACAUCAACGUCUCAAAUGGACCCCAUUUCUUUUAGCUACGCCUGUAAAUUUGUCAAUUUUUAGGAUAGGGAACUGUUUUUUAUUAGAUCAGUGUCUAAAAUUGGAGCUUCUUCAAAUUCUAUCGUCAUAAAAGGCACUCGUGAGGCAAUAUUCAUCAGAAUUUAUUGGCACUCAGCAACUGGGGUUUUCCAGCCCGCAGCGUGGGUAGAGAAAGAAAGUUUUGGAUCUCAAAUGCGGCCAUCUUAGCCUUGUACGCCGCAGAAAUAUAAUACCCCCUGUGAGUCCUUGGUAGCUCAUCUCCAUUUAUCUUAACUAAUAUUUAUGUUUAAUGUACAGUAUCUCUAUGCUUCAUAGUCUGUUUCGCUCUCAUUAAAAUUUGAAAUUGAGUUACAAUAGUUUAUGAAGAUGAAUGGUUUAGUUAACA